rnacentral:rRNA from 1 species
CAGUCGCCACGGGAAAACGGAGGGGGCUAGCGUUGUUCGGAAUUACUGGGCGUAAAGCGCGCGUAGGCGGUUACUCAAGUCAGAGGUGAAAGCCCGGGGCUCAACCCCGGAACUGCCUUUGAAACUAGGUGACUAGAAUCUUGGAGAGGUCAGUGUAAUUCCGAGUGUAGAGGUGAAAUUCGUAGAUAUUCGGAAGAGCACCAGUGGCGAAGGCGACUGACUGGACAAGUAUUGACGCUGAGGUGCGAAAGCGUGGGGAGCAAACAGGAUUAGAUACCCGCGUAGUCCCUGUCUCUUAUAC